rnacentral:lncRNA from 1 species
GUUCGGCAAAAGGCACAUAUAGGCAACACACAUGAAAAAUAAGGUGAAAACAAUCAGGUCCUUUUAAUGGCUGCAACCCUUUUCAAGCUAGAAAAAAUGUAUAGCAUAUACUUCUGUAGUUGUCUCGUGGCAGAUAUGGGAAAGACAAUUUCUGAGUUUUACUACCCAAGCCACCAGAUUUGUAUUCAAAAGUCAGAGUGAUCUUUAUUUUGCCAACAGUUUGCAGGUAUGCAAAAGGGAUCUGAAGAUUCUUUUAUUAGACACUAGAACAGGUUGUGCAGAGAAGUUGUGGAUGCCCCAGCAUUGGGAAUGUUCAAAGUAAGGUUAGACGGCUUAUGAAUAACCAGAUCUGCUGCAUUAUGUCUCAGCUCGUGGCAGGGGAUUGGACUAGAUGAUCUUUAAAGGUGCCUUCCAAACUAAGUCAUUCUAUAAUCUAAGAUUUUAUUAUAGUGUUAGGGAAAAUGAUUGAUGAUACCAUCCCUCCCAUGUGGAAGUACAGGUGAAGCUUCAGGGUUAGGAGGAGACCUGUCCCAAUCAUAAAGACAAGUAUUGAAGCAAGGCCCCGGAGGGUAGGAGGCUGCUGUUCCCUCCUGAGGUUACACAGUGCUCAUCACUGGCUGCAUCAUCAGCUCAUGCUGACGUGUCAUGUCUCCAGGAAAUGUUUUGGCCUCUAAUCCUGUCACUUGAAAGGAGACUUAGUGGCAGACUGGGCAUGUCCUACACAGAAAUGAAAAGGGAGCAUUGAAGGGAACAGAAAAAAAAGACACAAAUUUCUUUAAUUGUGGUGUUUUGCAUGCAAGAUGAGCUUGUUGUUACAUAUAAUGUAUGUGCAAAGAGUGCCUUUUGACCUAUGGGCAGUUCUGAGCAGUAUAAAAGCCUGUCCAGCACCAGGCUCCCUCAUCCACUUCUCUUGCCUUCUCCUUCUUGGUGAACAAGGUACACCUCCAUCCCACAGCCAUGUCCUGCUUCGAUCUAUGCCGUCCCUGUGGCCCGACCCCGCUGGCCAACAGCUGCAACGAGCCCUGUGUGCGGCAGUGCCAGGACUCCCGUGUGGUGAUCCAGCCCUCUCCUGUGGUGGUGACCCUGCCCGGUCCCAUCCUCAGCUCCUUCCCCCAGAACACUGCUGUGGGAUCCAGCACCUCUGCUGCUGUUGGCAGCAUCCUUAGCCAGGAGGGAGUGCCUAUCUCUUCUGGGGGCUUUGGCUUCUCUGGCCUGGGUGGCCGGUUCUCUGGUAGGAGGUGCCUGCCCUGCUAAAGCUGGGGUGGACAUCCUCUGAGCACAUCCCAGUGAUGCUUGAAGCCAGGCGCCAGACUGAGGAUGUAGCUGCUGGCCAGGGUUUCCAGAUGGGAUGAGCAUCCUCCUGCCCUCCUGCAAAGCAGAGAGGGAAGCCAGGGUGCCAGCCUAUGCUGACUGGAAACACAGUCAGCAGACGUCGUCUUCUCCUGUUUUCUUCUCGUCAUCACAAGUCUUUGUUGUCUCAUGCUGUCCUCUGCCAUGGAUUCAUCCUGAAGCAAGCUGAGAGGGCCCUACUUCUUCCUCUCACCACGUGGGGGAGGAAGACAUGCAUCCUAUUGUGGCAAAGUUUGCAAGCUGAUUGCCAAUCUGUUUACCAGCUGCCUUUGUAGCACCUUUAAACUAUGCACUGCUUUGAUUCCUUCUUUAGAUUCAAUAAAAUUUAUGCUGCAUUGUAAUCUCA